rnacentral:tRNA from 1 species
AUUUAAAUAGCUUAUAAGUAGAGCAUAAUAUUGAAGAUAUUAGGGAGAUUAAUUAAUCUUUAAGUA